UACGUAGGGUGCAAGCGUUGUCCGGAAUUAUUGGGCGUAAAGAGCUCGUAGGCGGUUUGUCGCGUCUGCUGUGAAAACCCGAGGCUCAACCUCGGGCCUGCAGUGGGUACGGGCAGACUAGAGUGCGGUAGGGGAGAUUGGAAUUCCUGGUGUAGCGGUGGAAUGCGCAGAUAUCAGGAGGAACACCGAUGGCGAAGGCAGAUCUCUGGGCCAUUACUGACACUGAGAAGCGAAAGCAUGGGGAGCGAACAGG
rnacentral:rRNA from 1 species